GGGUUAGGGUUAGCAAAAAUAAUACAUCAAUAUGCCAUGCCGAGGUGGAACAAACUUGAAGUACAUCCAUGGAUCCAUUGUGUUGGACUUAAAAAACUUAGUACAAAUGGCACAAAGGAAGUGGUCACCACCAACAAAAAGAGAUAAGGAAGAACCUUGUCUUCCUUCAUUAGCACCCACAACCAAACAUUACUUGUCGUUUUGACCAAGCAUUAAGUGGGGACUAUAGAGAUUUCCAAAUUCCAAGAGGGUGCCAGGAUCAAAUGGAAAAAUUAGCCAAGGGCCUAAGCCGAGGCUAGCCCUUUCUUCCCCUAGAAUGUCACUCCCACAUUCACACACUAAAAUAUUUUCAUUCACAUGGUCUCUAUGAACGAAAAUAAUUGUAAUGCUUUUACCACACAAGAUGUUCAAAGAGUCAAGUGCAUUAUCAAGAUCAAUUCUAUAGACAUCAUCACUAACUUGAUAAUUUUUAAGCACACUAUUCACAUGCUCAAGUAGUGAACUACAUUUAAGAGUAAAUUGAUCAUGCACACCAAGAGGACUACAAGAGUACUCAUUUUCGAGACUACACAUUCCUUUCCCAUAAGAGUACUCUCAUCUUCCAAGAAGAAAUUUCCAUCUUUAGGAGGAAUGUUGUCGCACCAUAGUAGGUUAGCAUAUCGGAUAUAGCCUCCAAGGCAAGCUACACCAUCAUUUUCACCACUAAGUCCAUUAGGAGUGCUUAUAUCAUCUUCAAACAAGACAUUAAACCUAAAGAGAUCAUGAUCUAUCUCGCGGAUAGAUUUGGAACUAGUAAGUGAUUCACUCUCUAUAAGUUCACUAUCAAGUACCAAAGAUGUUUCAAUCUCCUCUUUACCUUGGUGUGGGUCGGGGCAUCCCACCUCUUCCUUUGGGAAGCUCUCAGCACAAAGUGUUUGAACAAGGGAAGUUGGAUUUUGUGGGAUAAGUUUAGGUAACAAUUGGCGUAGCCUUUCCACGUGCCAUUUCAUUUCUUCAAUAUCGUCAUUGAUGCGAUCAAACGUGGCAUCAAGAUUAGUGGAAUCCAUGGUACCUAAAGCAAAGGACAAUAACAAACAACAAAACAAACUUGUUAGUUCAAAAUACCUCACUGCACUCUCACUCUCGAUUUUACCUCACACUUGGUUUCACAAGUGUUGAAAGCCGGCUUGUACUUCGCGAGUGAUUGAGGGUGAGUCUACUCCUGCCCGGAAUAGAUUUUCAUUUGAGUUGACUCAAAGAAAAUUUGUUUACGGAAUUGAACCAACAAGAUACAACGAAUUCACAAAAGAAAAAAGCACACAAAGAACGUUAACAUGAACAAACGGAUACAAAACUAAUUUACAAUCUAGUAGGAGUUUACUAGCUUGUCAAUUAGCGUUCGGAUCAAUCAAACGAAACUACGAAACAAUAAAAAGAAACUAAGAAAAUCUCAAAUUUGAGCCAUAAUUGGUGCGUGAACAGUAACAAUGUUGAUGUGGCAGCAUAUAAUUGGUUGCGGUUUCUAACAUUUUUUGUUGUCCAAUUUCAAGUCUUGGUCAAUUUACAAUUUAGGAAUUGGUGGAAUUUAUUUUAAGGAGGGAAAUUCAAACAAGUCUUGGAGACUUUUCAAAUUCAAGUUUUCAAGACUUUGACUUUCUUGUACUUCUCCUUAUAAUAUAAACCCUUGUUUUAUGGAAAGUUGUUGGAAAGUGGUUGAGAUGUGAUUGACUAUUUGAUGAGUGAUGGGAAGUCUUUCAAGACUAACAAAGCUUCACCCCUUUUCCCUUCACCUUUUAUAGAUCUAAUGGUCACUUUAUAUUAACAAGCUAUGAAGGUUGUGAAGAACUUCAAGAACAACAUCAACAAUCACCCAGAACAACCAACAACAAUCUCCAAAAAUACCACAAUUUUCACACGGCCAACUUCUAAUUUUCACAAUACAAUAUCUUCAGCACUUGGCCAAGACAACUACAAUUUCAACAAAAUGGUUCUUAGGCCACCAAUGAACAAUAAUAUCACGUGGAUAAGCUAAUAACAACAACAAGAUGAAGACCACAAGACCAAAACAGUCCACCACAACAAUAUUUCAACAACAAUUCGGCCAAGCCUUAUGUUCGCGAACACAACACCAACAAUGUAAGCUCAAACUUAGAUUUAGUCUCAAGAGUGUUAAAGAUGAAGAAAACUAACACAAUAAACAACAAAACAAGUAAAAAUCUCGGCCAAGACACAGCGAUAACACAACUUUAGCCAAGAACACAAAAUGGACAGAUUUGCUUCUUUUUUUCUGGAAUUUUCAGAUUUUAAUUUUUUUCAAGUGAGCUAGCCCAAGAUUUGAUCUUGUAGGAACAAGAUCAAGCCAUUCUUUGAUACCAAUUGAUACGGGAAAAACAACAGAAACACAAAACAACUCCAAAAUAGUCCACUAAUCUUAAGGAUUUGAGGACUAAGAUGGAGAACACUCUCGGAUUCACUACAACAACAACAAUAUGAGAUAACAAAGGUUCAUUUAACACCAAAAACAGCAGAAACACAAUGAUAACAAGAUGAACACAAUGAGAACAAAUUUCGGAUUCAAGAAGGACACAAAACAGUCUACUAUGAAUCUACAAAGUGCAAUAAGAUAAAGAUAGAUAGAUAGAUCAAAUGAGGGAAUAAUAUUAACAACCCAAGACUUGUUACACUCUUGGACCUUAAUACCUAACUCCUAUGUUGGCACAAGAGUGACCUCUAUCUCCCAAGCAUCCAACGUGUCCAAGCUUGAAUCAAACACGAGUGAUUCCACACUCAAGUUGAUUUUCCUAGUUACAAGUUUCAGAUUUGUGGUCUUCUCUCCUUAGAGAGGAAAUGUUUCUAAGUGUUGUACACUAUUCAUAUUCAUUAAAAACUAAGACAAAAAUGACCUACAAUGUUCUAUUUAUACUAGGUUACAAAUAGAAUACAAAAUGACCAAAAGGCCCUUUAAUGAAAAGCCUCAAAUGUCGCCCAUGGAGUGUAGUGUAGGUUCGGUUUUGGUGUAUGUUUUAGGCCCUCUUUUGCAUUUUUCUUGCACACUCCAAGCCUCGGGUUCAUUACACUUUAACACAUCCAUCCUCGUGGUCAUACUUGUAUCAUCCUCUCCUUCUUGAAAAGGAUUCGACCUCGAAUCCGUACCUUACAAAAUCAAGAGAAGACAAACAAGCACACACCCUCAUGACAUGAGGGGUUAGGGUUAGCAAAAAUAACACAUCAAUAUGCCAUGCUGAGAUGGAACAAACUUGAAGUAAAUCCAUGGAUCCUUUGUGUUGGACUUAAGAAACUUAGUACAAAUGGCACAAAGGAAGUGGUCACCACCAACAAAAAGAGAUAAGGAAGAACCUUGUCUUCCUUCAUUAGCACCCACAACCAAACAUUACUUGUCGUUUUGACCAAGCAUUAAGUGGGGACUGUAGAGAUUUCC
rnacentral:lncRNA from 1 species